rnacentral:rRNA from 1 species
UACGAAGGGGGCUAGCGUUGUUCGGAAUUACUGGGCGUAAAGGGCGCGUAGGCGGCCUUGAUAGUUGGGCGUGAAAGGCCUGGGCUCAACCCGGGAACUGCGUUCAAUACUGCGAGGCUAGAGUGUGGGAGAGGUUGGUGGAAUUCCCAGUGUAGAGGUGAAAUUCGUAGAUAUUGGGAAGAACACCGGUGGCGAAGGCGGCCAACUGGACCACAACUGACGCUGAGGCGCGAAAGCGUGGGGAGCAAACAGG